rnacentral:rRNA from 1 species
GACGUAGGGCGCGAGCGUUGUCCGGAUUUAUUGGGCGUAAAGAGCUCGUAGGCGGCUUGUUGCGUCAGCUGUGAAAACCCGCAGCUCAACUGUGGGCUUGCAGCUGAUACGGGCAGGCUUGAGUUCGGUAGGGGAGACUGGAAUUCCUGGUGUAGCGGUGAAAUGCGUAGAUAUCGGGAGGAACACCUAUGGCGAAAGCAGCUGCCUGGGCCUUUACUGACGCUAAGACUCGAAAGCUAGGGGAGCAACAGG